UACGUAGGGGGCAAGCGUUGUCCGGAUUUAUUGGGCGUAAAGAGCGUGUAGGCGGCCAGAUAGGUCAGCUGUGAAAACUCGAGGCUCAACCUCGAGACGCCGGUUGAAACCAUCUGGCUAGAGUCCGGAAGAGGAGAGUGGAAUUCCUGGAUGUAGCGGUGAAAUGCGCAGAUAUCAGGAAGAACACCCGUGGCUAAGGCGGCUCUCUAGUACGGUACUGGACGCUGAGACGCGAAAGCGUGGGGAGCGAACAGG
rnacentral:rRNA from 1 species